rnacentral:rRNA from 1 species
UGGCGGACGGGUGAGUAACGCGUGGGUAACCUGCCUCACACAGGGGGAUAACAGUUGGAAACGACCGCUAAUACCGCAUAAGCCAACAGGGGCGCAUGCUCUGGUUGGAAAAGAUUUAUCGGUGUGAGAUGGACCCGCGUCUGAUUAGCCAGUUGGCAGGGUAACGGCCUACCAAAGCGACGAUCAGUAGCCGGCCUGAGAGGGUGAACGGCCACAUUGGGACUGAGACACGGCCCAAACUCCUACGGAAGGCAGCAG